rnacentral:lncRNA from 1 species
UCUGCCAAGGACACUGGAGAAGACAGAAGAGGGAUGACUGCUGACCUUCUAAAGUCUUGGAUUAAUAAAGUCAAUUACAUAGCAUAAAGAACAACUUCAUUUUGAUUCCCAUGGUGCUCUGUGGUUUACAAAGCUUUAUAACGACUUUGAUUAAUGGCAGCACUCUUCUGGGAUGAGGAUGAAGAAACAGAAGAUUUGUUGAAGUGACUUUUCUUUUCCUUCAUACUUUUUCUACCAGGCACGAAGAAGAGAGUGAGACUUAAUUCCAUGGAAUUUUACAUGUAUAACAGGGCUUACUGUAAUCCUUCUUAUGCUUAUGAUUUUCAAAGACCUGGGAGAGACUUUGAUCAUAAAAGGCAAGAUUUGGCCAUCCGGAGAGCGUGGGAUUUUGCCUACGAGCCUCUAGGAAUCUGUGGGCGGCAGAACAGAAAUAGGUCAUUUAUAAAACUUGACUGAGCCAUAGGAAAAAAAAUCCAUCACAAGCUGACUUCAAAGAGUCUAAUUGUUAGAUUUUUUUCCUUCUUCUUUGGUGUCAGAGGGGUCCCUUGCUGCUUCUAAAAUAGCAUGGAGUAUAAACUUGUAUUCAAGAAAUAUAGGUAAGAUACGAUUUAGGUGCAGUUUUGGUUAAAUACAGCAUUGAUGAGAGCAGUAUUACUCAAGAGGCUGGGUGCUACUGAGUUCCCACAUCCAGCCCCCAACCUGUGCUUGUCCCACCACAUGUGGCUCCCACAUCCAGCAGGCUGAAUCUAAAACUGGCCUGGUCUAUAAGGCCGUUCCUCAGAUGAUCUGACAGCCCAUGGAUUAAUUCUGUGUCACUUUCAAACAGGGCAAUAGAGUUGUCAAGACUUGAUAAAGCCCAAUAAUAUUUCUAAUAACAAGUAAACUGAAAGCCCAGCUGGGCACUGAUUCUUAUUUUGUGUUGGGCUCCCAGGCCAGCCUACAACGAUGUGUUCCUUUGCAUUCAACAAACAUUCACAGCCAGGCUUCCUAAGCUGGAGUCCCUGGAUGUGUGCUUUGCAGAUCUUGGCUGUAAAGUAUCUCACUGGUCUUUCUCUCUGGCACCUCUUGUUAUGCCUCCAGCUGCAGCCAAGCAUCUGGGCCUUGGUCACCGAGUGCUGUGAUUGCAGGCACUCUGUGCUGACAAGUGACUUGGUUGCCUCAGACCAGGUGUGACUCAUUAUUUUCCUCCUGACAUUCCAAGCACUGAAGUAAAUGAUUGAUGGAGGGAAAGAUCCAAAGUGUCAGAGAAGUCUCUCUCUUGGCCGUGAAUAACAGGCUACCUUGAAUUGGUGUUUCCUUUGCGUAUUUUGUUUCUAAGCAAAUCGAGUCCCAGGUAGAGUUUUGCCCUUGAGCAGCUUCAUGAGGUCAAGGAGGGGCGCUCACUCCACUCUGCACGGAAACACUGAGUGGAAUGAAAAUACAACCGGAGAGAAUGUCCUCCCCACCAGAAGGUCGCCUCGAGACAGGCCUCCACGCAUCGUUGCUGACCUCACACAGUGAUACCUCUGCAUGCCGGGGAGCAAUUCCAUCCAAAUGUGGGGAGGUCUGGGAGGUUAAACCGUUUCCUCCAGAUCACAUUCCCGGGAAGACGAACCCAGCUGUGCCUGACUGCUCCUUUCUUCUCACUGCUUCUGCGGAGGUGGAGACGCCCGCGUAGCCCGUGUUGUCUUCCUCUGCCCACUCCAGGCCAAGCAUCCCCCUUCCUGUCACGCGCUCUUUGAUGGCUUCACUGUCCUGGACACCCCCUCAGAUCUGUGCUGUCUCAGAGAAAGCAAGCGAGAAUGGGCCCACGGUGCUCCUCGUCUUUGGAAAUGGAUUUUACCUUUAUAAGUGAGAGCUUUCAGAGGCACAGAGUCCUGGGGCUGCAUAGGAACAGGGGGCCUGGUCGGGGCUCUUUUCCUUUCCGGGACCUCUUUCUCUAUAAAGAAAAUAAAAAUGCGAUUUGAGGACUGUUGGUACAAA